rnacentral:tRNA from 1 species
AUACUUUGUCAUAUUGGCCUGCAAAGCUAAAUAAUAUGUAUAAAAACAUGCAAUGUG